UACGUAGGGGGCGAGCGUUGUCCGGAUUUAUUGGGCGUAAAGAGCUCGUAGGCGGUUCGAUGAGUCGGACGUGAAAUCUCCACGCUCAACGUGGAGGGGCCGUUCGAUACUGUCGUGACUCGAGUCCGGUAGGGGAGUGUGGAAUUCCCGGUGUAGCGGUGAAAUGCGCAGAGAUCGGGAGGAACACCCGUAGCGAAGGCGGCACUCUGGGCCGGUACUGACGCUGAGGAGCGAAAGCGUGGGGAGCAAACAGG
rnacentral:rRNA from 1 species